rnacentral:ribozyme from 1 species
UUUACAUUAUGAAACACAAAUCUACAAUCUUCACGCCUGUCGAAGGAUGCACAGGCUCUUCUUACUCUACUCCUACUCAAAACGUUCCCGACUGUAACAUGUCUAUCCGCAUAUCUGAGCUUGGGUAUACGAGGAAACGCAACCCCUUGGGCGAAUGGAUGAUGUGGCUAAUUUGAGUGGA